rnacentral:tRNA from 1 species
GAGGGUGUAGCUCAGUGAUAGAGAGCAUACUUGGCAUGCAUGAGGUCCUGGGUUCAAUCCCCAAUACCACCA